CGGGGAGUAGUUCAGGAGUAGAACGCUCGGUUCGGGACCGAGAGGUCGGAGGUGCGAAUCCUCUCUCCCCGA
rnacentral:tRNA from 1 species